AAAGGGUCCGUAGGCGGUUUGAUAAGUCAGUGGUGAAAGCCCAUCGCUCAACGAUGGAACGGCCAUUGAUACUGUCAGACUUGAAUUACUAGGAAGUAACUAGAAUAUGUAGUGUAGCGGUGAAAUGCUUAGAUAUUACAUGGAAUACCAAUUGCGAAGGCAGGUUACUACUAGUGGAUUGACGCUGAUGGACGAAAGCGUGGGGAGCGAACAGGAUUAGAUACCCUAGU
rnacentral:rRNA from 1 species